rnacentral:rRNA from 1 species
GAUGAACGCUGGCGGCGUGCCUAAUACAUGCAAGUCGAGCGAACAGACGAGGAGCUUGCUCCUUUGACGUUAGCGGCGGACGGGUGAGUAACACGUGGGUAACCUACCUAUAAGACUGGGAUAACUUCGGGAAACCGGAGCUAAUACCGGAUAAUAUUUCGAGCCGCAUGGUUCGAUAGUGAAAGAUGGCUUUGCUAUCACUUAUAGAUGGACCUGCGCCGUAUUAGCUAGUUGGUAAGGUAACGGCUUACCAAGGCAACGAUACGUAGCCGACCUGAGAGGGUGAUCGGCCACACUGGAACUGAGACACGGUCCAGACUCCUACGGGAGGCAGCAGUAGGGAAUCUUCCGCAAUGGGCGAAGGCCUGACGGAGCAACGCCGCGUGAGUGAUGAAGGUCUUCGGAUCGUAAAACUCUGUUAUUAGGGAAGAACAAACGUGUAAGUAACUGUGCACGUCUUGACGGUACCUAAUCAGAAAGCCACGGCUAACUACGUG